UACGUAGGGUGCGAGCGUUGUCCGGAAUUAUUGGGCGUAAAGAGCGUGUAGGCGGUUUGGUAGGUCCGCUGUGAAAACUCGAGGCUCAACCUCGAGACGCCGGUGGAAACCAUCAGACUAGAGUCCGGAAGAGGAGAGCGGAAUUCCUGGUGUAGCGGUGAAAUGCGCAGAUAUCAGGAAGAACACCCGUGGCUAAGGCGGCUCUCUAGUACGGUACUGACGCUGAGACGCGAAAGCGUGGGGAGCGAACAGG
rnacentral:rRNA from 1 species